UAGCGAAGGGGGCUAGCGUUGCUCGGAAUCACUGGGCGUAAAGCGCACGUAGGCGGAUUGCUAAGUCAGGGGUGAAAUCCUGGAGCUCAACUCCCAGAACUGCCCUUGAUACUGGCGGUCUCGAGUCCGGGAGAGGUGAGUGGAACUGCGAGUGUAGAGGUGAAAUUCGUAGAUAUUCGCAAGAACACCAGUGGCGAAGGCGG
rnacentral:rRNA from 1 species